AGGGAUAAGCUCAAAUUUAAAAUCUGGYAGCUUCGCUGUCCGAGUUGUAAUUUAGAGAAGUGUUACCCGUGCUGGACCGUGUAUAAGUCUCCUGGAAUGGAGCGUCAUAGAGGGUGAGAAUCCCGUCUUUGACACGGACUACCAGUGCAUUGUGGUGCGCUCUCGAAGAGUCGAGUUGUUUGGGAAUGCAGCUCUAAAUGGGUGGUAAAUUCCAUCUAAAGCUAAAUAUUGGCGAGAGACCGAUAGCGAACAAGUACCGUGAGGGAAAGAUGAAAAGAACUUUGGAAAGAGAGUUAAACAGUACGUGAAAUUGCUGAAAGGGAAACGCUUGAAGUCAGUCGCGUUGGCCGGGGAUCAGCCUUGCUUUUGUGAGGUGUACUUCCUGGUUGACGGGUCAGCAUCAGUUUCGAUCACUGGAAAAAGGCUUGGGGAAUGUGGCACCUUCGGGUGUGUUAUAGCCUCUUGUUGUAUACAGUGGUUGGGACUGAGGAACUCAGCACGCCGCAAGGCCGGGUUUCGACCACGUUCGUGCUUAGGAUGCUGGCAAAAUGGCUUUAAGCGACCCGUCUUGAAACACGGACCAAGGAGUCUAACAUGCUUGCGAGUGUUUGGGUGGAAAACCCGAGCGCGUAAUGAAAGUGAAAGUUGGGAUCUCUGUCGUGGAGAGCACCGACGCCCGGACCUGAUGUUUACUGACGGAUCUGCGGUAGAGCACGUAUGUUGGGACCCGAAAGAUGGUGAACUAUGCCUGAAUAGGGCGAAGCCAGAGGAAACUCUGGU
rnacentral:rRNA from 1 species